UGGAGGGGAUGGGGGGGGAGGCCGGGAGCCUGGAACCCACCCUGGAUUCGAGUCUCGCCUGGCUGCUUCCCCCACUUAAGCCUCUGCCACUCGGUUCUCUGCCAUCCCCUCUCGGCGGCCCAGCGGAGCGCCGGCGGCUGGCGUCACUUGUCCCCCCAGCUGUUCUGGGGAAACUGAGGCUCACGCAGCCUGGCCACUGGCCAGGACGCAGCUGGGGGCAAACGUUUAUUUGGGCGGUUUUGCAGGGAUUUGUCUGCGCACUGGAAAGCAAACCCCAAACCCACGUACCCGCCCCCACGUUCCUCCAGUCCCCGGAGCUGGGGGAACAUGAGGCGGCGGAGGGGACCAGGUGGCCUGCAGCCCGGGCUUGAGUACCAGUCAAGCUGGGCCCCUCCUGGUGCCUCGGGCUCCCCUCUGCGUGGCGCGCACGACAGCGCUGGAGGACACACUCCCCCGACUCUCGCUGUGGGUCUCCGGCGCCGCGUGGGUUGCGGCCCCGAGGCCCAAACGUCCGCGUCUUCGCCGAGCCCUGACGUCGCGCUGACGCCACCAGCCCCCCUCCCCGCGGGGUCCGGCAGCCCAGAGUGGUUAACUCUUCCGCUGCCACACGAGACCCCCAGGGUCCUUUCUCCCUCCACCCGCUCCCUGCCCGGAGAGGGUCCGGGCUGGGCCCCGACGUCGGAGUGUCCUGGGCGGACCUGGUAGACAGGCCCUUAGCCCGGGCUGUUCCCUUCGCCUGGAAUGCGGCUCCAGUCCCAGGUCAAGCCCGUGUUUACUGUGACUUCGCUCCCUCCCGCCGGGCCCUGACCCCUCCGAGGCUGGGCGUGACCGCGUCUGGCUGGAUCUCCCGGGCCCGGGGUGGGUCCUCCCCUCAGCCACUUGCUGUUUCAAGUUUCCUUCUAUUUAUGGCAAGAGAAAACGAUUUUCCAUUCCUGGCGGUGACACGAAGAUCCCCUUUUGAAAUAUAUUGAAAUAGAAACAGAAAAGGGGGUAGAGAGUGACAUGGACCUAAAGGGUGCUCCUUGGCUAUGAUUACUUCCUGUAACUCCCCGCUCAGCUCUAGGAGGGCUGGGGGCUGAAGAGCUGGGCCCAGCAUGCCCAGCACAGGCGCACCAGGGACUGUCCAAUGAGCCAACCAUGAUGCCCCCAACCCAAAUCCAACUGACUCCUCAAGGUGAUCUAGUAACAGUGGAUUCCUGAUCUUCUGACCAACACCUACACACACCUGCUGGACCCCAACAUCUGAACCUGUGAAAGGACCUAACCCCACUGGUGCAUACAGCAAGUGCACAUUCAGUGCACGCUGGGGGAACGCAGGCACUGCUCCUAGGAGCUCUUUCCUCCAGGUGCUAGAGACCUAAGGCUGGAGUCCUUCAGUCCCUUCACAAACACUGAUCUGCGCCACUCCUUGAAGCCUUUGAGGAGGCUGGGGACACCACAGUCUCAGGGACAACUGGACUCUGUUGUCAUCAAAGCGGGAUGUGUCAGGUCCAAUCAAUGUCCAAGGGCCUGCUGCGCCCGCUGCCUUAUUGUAAUAUGGUCUUCCGAGGCUGAAGGAGCCGGUGCCACCCAAAGGGCAGAAGCUGGGUCCCCUCCAUAGGGCUAGUCAAACACCUGCACAGGGACGGACAGGACGGCGGUUGCGGCUCCAGGGGAGGGCGGAAGUGGGGCGGUGGCGAGGGGGGAGCCGCAGCCCUCCGCGGUAACCUGAUCCUCAGGAAUGCGCCGAGGCCAGACGCGCCCCCAGCCCCAGGCCGCGGCCCCUCCCCCAGCCACCCCACGGGAUCCUGCCACCUGGGGGACUGUUCUCCGCCCCCAAGCCCUGCCCCCACUAGCCAGUUUGUUUUCAGUGCAGAGUUACCCUGUCCCGGCCCUGCAGGGUCCUGAGCUCUGGGGGACCAUCCCCAGCAAGCCCCGCCCCCAGGAGGCCCCCUUGCCUCAUCCCCCUUCUGCUCCUCUAACUCCUAUUCUUUCCUCUCCCGGGGAUUUUCCGUUUUAUCAAGUUGAUGGUAGGUCUCUGGGUGUUGAGUAAAGACUGAAAAUUCAGCCCAGUGGCAGAUCACUCUAAACCAGAAGGUCAGUGUCUUAGUACUGGGCGGCGCAGAGGUCAGAACCUGGGCUGGCGAGACAGAAGGGGGAGGGCACAUCAGAUUCAGUGUCUGGAAGGCCAGGUCCCUCUCCAGCCCUGGCUGGGGGAGCCCAGGCAGGUCAGGUCGCCAGUCCUCCGCAGACAACUGCUCUGGGAAAUCCGAUUAAAAUCUCUCACAACUUGCUGGGAAGAUAAAAGUAAAAAUAUGGACUCCA